CAAUAGUGUAUAUUAAAGUUGUUGCAGUUAAAAAGCUCGUAGUUGAACUUCUGACAGUGUGCAGUUUUGGCUUCGGUCAGGCUGUUCGCUGUCAUCCGUCUGCAAACCUUGUUCGACCUUCACUGGUACGGCAAGGGGAGUAGACAUUUUACUUUGAAAAAAUUAGAGUGUUUCAAGCAGGCAAUCGCCAGAAUACUUUAGCAUGGAAUAAUGGAAUAGGACUCUUGUCCAUUUGGUUGGUUAUUGGACAUGAGUAAUGAUUAAUAGGGACAGUUGGGGGCAUUAGUAUUUAAUUGUCAGAGGUGAAAUUCAUGGAUUUAUUAAAGACUAACUUAUGCGAAAGCAUUUGCCAAGGAUGUUUUCAUUAA
rnacentral:rRNA from 1 species